rnacentral:rRNA from 1 species
CGAGUGGCGGACGGGUGAGUAAUGUCUGGGAAACUGCCUGAUGGAGGGGGAUAACUACUGGAAACGGUAGCUAAUACCGCAUAACGUCGCAAGACCAAAGAGGGGGACCUUCGGGCCUCUUGCCAUCGGAUGUGCCCAGAUGGGAUUAGCUUGUUGGUGGGGUAACGGCUCACCAAGGCGACGAUCCCUAGCUGGUCUGAGAGGAUGACCAGCCACACUGGAACUGAGACACGGUCCAGACUCCUACGGGAGGCAGCAGUGGGGAAUAUUGCACAAUGGGCGCAAGCCUGAUGCAGCCAUGCCGCGUGUAUGAAGAAGGCCUUCGGGUUGUAAAGUACUUUCAGCGGGGAGGAAGGGAGUAAAGUUAAUACCUUUGCUCAUUGACGUUACCCGCAGAAGAAGCACCGGCUAACUCCGUGCCAGCAGCCGCGGUAAUACGGAGGGUGCAAGCGUUAAUCGGAAUUACUGGGCGUAAAGCGCACGCAGGCGGUUUGUUAAGUCAGAUGUGAAAUCCCCGGGCUCAACCUGGGAACUGCAUCUGAUACUGGCAAGCUUGAGUCUCGUAGAGGGGGGUAGAAUUCCAGGUGUAGCGGUGAAAUGCGUAGAGAUCUGGAGGAAUACCGGUGGCGAAGGCGGCCCCCUGGACGAAGACUGACGCUCAGGUGCGAAAGCGUGGGGAGCAAACAGGAUUAGAUACCCUGGUAGUCCACGCCGUAAACGAUGUCGACUUGGAGGUUGUGCCCUUGAGGCGUGGCUUCCGGAGCUAACGCGUUAAGUCGACCGCCUGGGGAGUACGGCCGCAAGGUUAAAACUCAAAUGAAUUGACGGGGGCCCGCACAAGCGGUGGAGCAUGUGGUUUAAUUCGAUGCAACGCGAAGAACCUUACCUGGUCUUGACAUCCACGGAAGUUUUCAGAGAUGAGAAUGUGCCUUCGGGAACCGUGAGACAGGUGCUGCAUGGCUGUCGUCAGCUCGUGUUGUGAAAUGUUGGGUUAAGUCCCGCAACGAGCGCAACCCUUAUCCUUUGUUGCCAGCGGUCCGGCCGGGAACUCAAAGGAGACUGCCAGUGAUAAACUGGAGGAAGGUGGGGAUGACGUCAAGUCAUCAUGGCCCUUACGACCAGGGCUACACACGUGCUACAAUGGCGCAUACAAAGAGAAGCGACCUCGCGAGAGCAAGCGGACCUCAUAAAGUGCGUCGUAGUCCGGAUUGGAGUCUGCAACUCGACUCCAUGAAGUCGGAAUCGCUAGUAAUCGUGGAUCAGAAUGCCACGGUGAAUACGUUCCCGGGCCUUGUACACACCGCCCGUCACACCAUGGGAGUGGGUUGCAAAAGAAGUAGGUAGCUUAACCUUCGGGAGGGCGCUUACCACUUUGUGAUUCAUGACUGGGGUGAAGUCGUAACAAGGUAACCGUAGGGGAACCUGCGGUUGGAUCACCUCCUU